GCUGGGUGUGGUGGCGCACACCUGUAAUCCCAGCUACUUUGGGAGGCUUAGGCAGGAGAAUCGCUUGAACCCGGGAGGCGGAUGUUGCAGUGAGCUGAGAUAGGGCCACUGCAUUCCAGCCUGGGUGACAGAGUGAGACUCCGUCUCAA
rnacentral:SRP_RNA from 1 species